rnacentral:rRNA from 1 species
AGAGUUUGAUCCUGGCUCAGGAUGAACGCUAGCUACAGGCUUAACACAUGCAAGUCGAGGGGAAACGUACAUCGAAAGCUUGCUUUUGAUAGGGCGUCGACCGGCGCACGGGUGAGUAACGCGUAUCCAACCUGCCCGACCACUUGGGGAUAACCUUGCGAAAGUAAGACUAAUACCCAAUGAUAUCUCUUAGAAGACAUCUGAAAGAGAUUAAAAGAUUUAUCGGUGAUGGAUGGGGAUGCGUCUGAUUAGCUUGUUGGCGGGGUAACGGCCCACCAAGGCAACGAUCAGUAGGGGUUCUGAGAGGAAGGUCCCCCACAUUGGAACUGAGACACGGUCCAAACUCCUACGGGAGGCAGCA